AUUUUAAAAUAUAAAGCGCAUCAGGAAUCAGCACUAAUAUUUUCUCAGAUAAAUCUCUGCACUGAUUACCAUGAAGUACAUUGAUGUCACUAUCACUAUGACAACAUUAUGACAAGAACUAGUCACUCUCAGCUACCUAGUAAAAGGAAUUGUCAUCUGUAUUUGCGAAUAAAAUGUAACACACAUUAGAAUUUCUAUUUUCCUGCAUAAAUUAUUACCUUAAUGGCUAGGGAGUGCCGAAUCACAAUUGGACGAAGAACCCAUUCCCGUUUAUGUUUCCCUAAAGGUAUUACUGUCUCCCAGAAGAUAUAUAUCUCAUACUGGCUUUGUCAAUGGAACUUCUGAUCAUUCUUUCUAAAGAAUUACAUUCUAAAGGCCUGAAGUCAAAUGAAGAGAUGCCCACCUUCAGAUAUGCCUUCUGCUUAU
ensembl:lncRNA